AGAUGUCUAUCCCCGUUUCGUGUCGUCGGCGCUACCUCUUCUCUUCCUUCUCACUCAGCAACUGGUAUGGCUGUAAUAUUGACCUGGAACCAUGUGUUGAAAAGACCAUCCUUUCCACGACGCUCAACUGUGUCAGCUGUAUUGUAAAUCAAAGUGCUUGCUGCAAGAUGAAGAUGAUGAAGCAACUGGAAUUGGAGUCUGCCAAGAGAAGCUUUGUUUUUACUCCCUUGGGUAAAGAAGUCAUGCACUUCCCUGGAUGCUCAGAUGGUAAAGAACCUGCCUGCAAUGUGGAAGACCUGGGUUCUAUCCCUGGGUUGGGAAGAUCCCCUGGAGAGGAGAAUGGCUACCCACUCCAAUAUUCUUACCUGGAGAAUUCCAUGGACAGAGGAGCCUGGUGGGCUACAGUCCAUGGGGUUGCACAGAGUCAAACACAACUGAGCAACUAACACUUUCACUUUUACAAAUAAGUCAUAGUAGCCAGUAAAAAUUAUUUGUCUGUUUACAAUUCUUCUUCUAGAUGUGAUA
ensembl:lncRNA